UACGUAGGGGGCUAGCGUUAUCCGGAUUUAUUGGGUUUAAAGGGUGCGCAGGCGGCGUGUCAAGUCAGCGGUAAAAUGUCGGGGCUCAACCCCGGCCGGCCGUUGAAACUGGCGUGCUCGAGUUGGAGAGAAGUAUGCGGAAUUCGUGGUGUAGCGGUGAAAUGCAUAGAUAUCACGAAGAACCCCGAUUGCGAAGGCAGCAUACCGGCUCCACACUGACGCUGAGGCACGAAAGCGUGGGUAUCGAACAGG
rnacentral:rRNA from 1 species